rnacentral:rRNA from 1 species
UACGUAGGGGGGCAAGCGUUGUCCGGAAUCAUUGGGCGUAAAGAGCGUGUAGGCGGCCCGAUAAGUCCGCUGUGAAAGUCCAGGGCUCAACCCUGGAAUGCCGGUGGAUACUGUCGGACUAGAGUACGGAAGAGGCGAGUGGAAUUCCCGGUGUAGCGGUGAAAUGCGCAGAUAUCGGGAGGAACACCAAUUGCGAAGGCAGCUCGCUGGGACGUUACUGACGCUGAGACGCGAAAGCGUGGGGAGCAAACAGGG